GUGGAUUAGAUACCCUGGUAGUCCACGCCCUAAACGAUGUCAACUAGCCGUUGGGUUCAUUUAAGAAUUUAGUGGCGCAGCUAACGCGAUAAGUUGACCGCCUGGGGAGUACGGCCGCAAGGUUAAAACUCAAAGGAAUUGACGGGGGCCCGCACAAGCGGUGGAGCAUGUGGUUUAAUUCGAUGCAACGCGAAGAACCUUACCAGGUCUUGACAUCCACGGAACUUUCCAGAGAUGGAUUGGUGCCUUCGGGAACCGUGAGACAGGUGCUGCAUGGUUGUCGUCAACU
rnacentral:rRNA from 1 species